AUGCUUUUCCUAAAGAUUAAGCCAUGCAUGCCUAAGACUAUGAGGAAGCAAUUCUCUCUGAAUCUGCGAACGGCUCCGCAAACCAGUUGUAAACCAUAGCAGUGUUCCGCCCGGCUUCAGCAAUGGGGUCGGGCAUUAUAUGGAUAACCGUGGUAAUUCUGAGGCUAAUACAUGACACACCAACUCGGCGGGCUGGGGCAACCCGGCUUGCUGGGGACGUGCGAAUCAGCAAUGCUAUAACGAACAUCGGGAAUGAGCG
rnacentral:rRNA from 1 species